GACGAACGCUGGCGGCGUGCUUAACACAUGCAAGUCGAACGGUAACGGGCCUUCGGGUGCCGACGAGUGGCGAACGGGUGAGUAAUGCAUCGGAACGUACCUUUCAGUGGGGGAUAACGUAGCGAAAGUUACGCUAAUACCGCAUAUUCUGUGAGCAGGAAAGCAGGGGAUCGCAAGACCUUGCGCUGAUUGAGCGGCCGAUGUCAGAUUAGCUAGUUGGUGAGGUAAAGGCUCACCAAGGCGACGAUCUGUAGCGGGUCUGAGAGGAUGAUCCGCCACACUGGAACUGAGACACGGUCCAGACUCCUACGGGAGGCAGCAGUGGGGAAUUUUGGACAAUGGGGGCAACCCUGAUCCAGCCAUGCCGCGUGAGUGAAGAAGGCC
rnacentral:rRNA from 1 species